GACGAACGCUGGCGGCGUGCCUAAUACAUGCAAGUUGAGCGCUGAAGGUUGGUACUUGUACCAACUGGAUGAGCAGCGAACGGGGGAGUAACGCGUGGUGAAUCUGCCUUUGAGCGGGGGACAACAUGUGGAAACGAAUGCUAAUACCGCAUAAAAACUUUAAACACAAGUUUAAAGUUUGAAAGAUGCAAUUGCAUCACUCAAAGAUGAUCCCGCGUUGUAUUAGCUAGUUGGUGAGGUAAAGGCUCACCAAGGCGAUGAUACAUAGCCGACCUGAGAGGGUGAUCGGCCACAUUGGGACUGAGACACGGCCCAAACUCCUACGGGAGGCAGCAGGAGGGAAUCAUCGGCAAUGGACGAAAGUCUGAACGAGCAACGCCGGGUGAGGGAAGAAGGUUUUCGGAUCGUAAAACUCUGUUGGUAGAGAAGAACGUUGGUGAGAGUGGAAAGCUCAUCAAGUGACGGUAACUACACAGAAAGCGACGGCUAACUACGUG
rnacentral:rRNA from 1 species